UGGCACCCUAUUCCCUAUAUAGUGAACUACUUUUGACCAUGCAGGGCCUAUAGGGCUCUGGUCAAAAGUAGUGCACUAAACAGGGAAUAGGGUGCCAUUUGAGUCACAGACUAUGACUCACGUUGAUGAUGGCGUCCGUCUGGAUGUACUCCAUGUCAGAGUCUUUGAGUCCCAGCUCCAGGCCAUUCCUAUGGGCCGUGCUGAUGAUGCCUGUGGUGACCGUGUUCUGCAGGGGGAAGAAAAUUCAAACAAAGCUUCAAUUCCAACUAAUAUCCAAGGAGAAGGGACUGCCCACUGCCACCACAAACUCCCCCGGCCGAAGGUCAGACGAGUGGCCCAGCAGAAGCACCGGCAGUGGACUCUACAGAACAAGACAAACAUAGAGAUCAUAUAAAUCACAAAUCAACUGUUUCAUGUUGCUAGGAUAUCAAUGUUCAUUCUAGUGUUCUAUUUAAUUAUGUGAAGAUGGUGGGUGAGCAUCGCUACUCCCUUCCUGAGACCUGUAGUACUGUCCCGGAACCCAGAAAUGUUUGGGCUUUUCUUUAAGCCGUGUCCGAGCCAGAACGGCCCAUAGAGCAGGAACAUGUUUCUGAAACUUGAGGCAGUUUGAUGUAAAGUACACCCCCUGAACAGGACGCUAGUUAGCUUUCCUGGGACAGUAGUAUUGAAGGUGCUUCUGGAGUAUGUUGUGACAAUAAGGCGUGGGUUUGAAUCCCAGGUCAACUGUGUUGUAAAGGCAACUGUGGGCUUACUGACUGACACAUUGCUGGUCCGGUUCAUUGAGUCAUCAGAGCUACUUCCUGAUACUGUAUAUGCAGUAAGGGAAGACAAAUCACCCCCCAAAAAAGGGAAAGAGGCUUUUCAACCGCUUUGUUAAUACAUUGGCCCUAUAUCAUCAGUAAAGCCAACAAGGCACUCUCACCUUCACACCCAGCCUAAGCGUGUAUCUGCAUGCCUUUUCUUGUCAUGGGUUGAAGUAUUUAUAUUGCUGGAAUCUGACAAUUACAGUUUAUUUCCAUUGCCAGCCCCUCUAGGGCAUAAAGCCUUGUUCCAUCACAGCCUCACUUUGCAGGCAACUUUUGGAGUCUGUUGCAGCCUAUGACUGCUUACUGUCUACCAUCACAACUCAUUCAAUUUAAUCCCUUUCUUAUUUUACCUUUAUUUAACUAGGCAAGUCAGUUAAGAACAAACUCUUAUUUUCAAUGACUGCCUAGGAACAGUGUUCAGGGGCAGAAUAACAGAUUUGUACCUUGUCAGCUUGGGGAUUUGUUACUAAACCUUUCUCUGAUUACUAGUCCAACACUCUAACCACUAGGCUACGCUGCCUGCGUUUGUAGUCUCCACGGAAGUUUCUAGUCUUCUGAAGUAUAUUGUGUAGUGAUCAGCUGAGUCAAAAUGAUCAGUUGUAUUGCCUGUAUGGUUUGUCCCUGGCCUAGAUUGGGUUUUAGUGGACUGUGUUUUGGCCAGGGAUCCCAUAAUGCCACACAAAGGAGCUGUUUACCCAAGCUCCUGUCGUUGCGGUGACAAAUGUUUUAGUAACAGCACCACUUGCGAAUACUUACAAAUUCACAGCUUCAGCCCUUUUUUUUAAAGACCAAAACAAUAGCCCCUAGAGGAAAACUUGGCGACAAAUUGACCAUGUCAAGGAGUGGAAUCCAAUUUUGGUCAGGCGAAAGGCCCUCUGUCGCCUUUUUUAUGUUAGUCACUCAUGACAACCCAGUAGGCCAGUAGAAAACACCAAGCAACAUUUUGUUUAAGGACCUGUGAAAUGAGAGAAGGCCCUUGGAACAGCCUCAUUUUAGGGAGGAGGAAAAGGAAGAGCACUCACAUCCGACUCAAUUUUGAUGAGUGCAAUGUCUAGCUUCGUGUCCACGUCCUUGACGGAGGCAUCGAAUUUGACACCGUUCUUCAUCUCCACUUUGAUUCUCUGCUUGUUGGAGAGAACGUGGGCGUUGGUGACAAUCCAGCCGUCCUCUGACACGAUGAACCCCGAACCACUAGAGACGGGAACUUCCUGGUUUGAAAAUGCCAACCUGAGUGAAAAGACACAACAACCAAUCAGGUUGCUUUCAUCAUCAUACCGAAAUAUAAGGGAAUCAGUUCCAAUGAAGUGUUUGCCAAAAACACCCAGUCAACAAAAUGCAGAGCUUGAAAAUGAAGUAUUGAUCACAACUGUGUUAGACGCCUACUUCAAUAUGUUGCUGCAGAAUGCAUUGUAUAGUACAUUACCGACAGAAAGAUUAAAGGGCUCCAUUACUGUA